UGGGGAAUAUUGGGCAAUGGGCGAAAGCCUGACCCAGCGACGCCGCGUGAAGGAAGACGGUCUUCGGAUUGUAAACUUCUUUUAUAUGGGACGAAGCAUGACGGUACCAUAUGAAUAAGCCACGGCUAACUACGUGCAAGCAGCCGCGGUAAUACGUAGGUGGCGAGCGUUAUCCGGAUUUACUGGGUGUAAAGGGUGUGUAGGCGGGACUGCAAGUCAGAUGUGAAAAGUACAGGCUUAACCUGUGACCUGCAUUUGAAACUGUGGUUCUUGAGGGUCGGAGAGGUAACUGGAAUUCCUGGUGUAGCGGUGAAAUGCGUAGAUAUCAGGAGGAACACCGGUGGCGAAGGCGGGUUACUGGACGAUUACUGACGCUGAGACACGAAAGCGUGGGGAGCAAACAGG
rnacentral:rRNA from 1 species